GUUUUUUUCUCCUUCACACUUUGAACAUAGGUGAUCCGGAUACUUUUGCCCAAUCAAUUUACAGUAUCUUGUCAUUAGAUUGGAAGAAAUGAAAUUCUUUCGUAUAGCUCUUGUUGUAGGCAUAGUUUCUGGUCUGAGUAGACUUAAUAUCCACUGCCUUAAUUUUUCCAUAUCUGCCUCUCGUAUAUCCCUGCAAUUCGAAUAAAUAAUUGUCUGAUCUCUGUUGUAAUAUGU
rnacentral:misc_RNA from 1 species